GACGAACGCUGGCGGCGCGCCUAACACAUGCAAGUCGAACGAGCGAGAGAGAGCUUGCUUUCUCGAGCGAGUGGCGAACGGGUGAGUAACGCGUGAGGAACCUGCCUCAAAGAGGGGGACAACAGUUGGAAACGACUGCUAAUACCGCAUAAGCCCACAGGUCGGCAUCGACCAGAGGGAAAAGGAGCAAUCCGCUUUGAGAUGGCCUCGCGUCCGAUUAGCUAGUUGGUGAGGUAACGGCCCACCAAGGCGACGAUCGGUAGCCGGACUGAGAGGUUGAACGGCCACACUGGGACUGAGACACGGCCCAGACUCCUACGGGAGGCAGCAGUGGGGAAUAUUGCACAAUGGGGGAAACCCUGAUGCAGCGACGCCGCGUGGAGGAAGAAGGUCUUCGGAUUGUAAACUCCUGUUGUUGAGGAAGAUAAUGACGGUACUCAACAAGGAAGUGACGGCUAACUACGUGCCAGCAGCCGCGGUAAAACGUAGGUCACAAGCGUUGUCCGGAAUUACUGGGUGUAAAGGGAGCGCAGGCGGGAAGACAAGUUGGAAGUGAAAUCUAUGGGCUCAACCCAUAAACUGCUUUCAAAACUGUUUUUCUUGAGUAGUGCAGAGGUAGGCGGAAUUCCCGGUGUAGCGGUGGAAUGCGUAGAUAUCGGGAGGAACACCAGUGGCGAAGGCGGCCUACUGGGCACCAACUGACGCUGAGGCUCGAAAGUGUGGGUAGCANACAGG
rnacentral:rRNA from 1 species